UACGUAGGGUGCAAGCGUUGUCCGGAAUUAUUGGGCGUAAAGAGCUCGUAGGCGGUCUGUCGCGUCGGCUGUGAAAUCCCGAGGCUCAACCUCGGGUCUGCAGUCGAUACGGGCAAACUAGAGUAUUGCAGGGGAGACUGGAAUUCCUGGUGUAGCGGUGAAAUGCGCAGAUAUCAGGAGGAACACCGGUGGCGAAGGCGGGUCUCUGGGCCUUACCUGACGCUGAGGAGCGAAAGCGUGGGUAGCGAACAGG
rnacentral:rRNA from 1 species